GUCAGCGGGGCGCUGUGUGUGGGCGCCUCGCGUCGCUCGCGUUUGGAGCCGGUGGCAGCCGAUGUGGGGUUUUCUGAGCUAAAUUCAUGUGAAUGUCUUUGAUGGCCACAGCUGGCACAUCCUAAUUCUUAGGUUGUGAGAGAGUGAAUGACUUUUGUGUUCGCUUUUGGGAUGCUACCGUGGUUUUGCCGCCUUCUCCUUCGCUGCCCCUUUUUCUGUGCUGGAGGAAAUAUAUCUGAGCUGAUACAGGAUGCUGUCAGCACUUGGUGCUUCUGCACAAGGCCACUAAGGCCAUACAGAUCAGCCGCCAACCGUUCCCACUAAGCCAUAACAGUGCUGAGCUGUGGCCUCGUGGUUUGGUAGCUUGCAGCCUGUGUGUGAAACUCGCUGGAGUUGCACGUGGACUUGGGAUGGCCAGGAGAUCUGGGUGCUGCACGAAGCAGGAGCGGCGAAUGACGCUGGGGAGGGGAGCCCUCUGGAAACUGUGACGGCUUGUGUGUGUUGCAACUACAUCUGAUUAGUUCAUCAGGAGCCGGUGUCAGCCUGGUACAUCUAAGCGCUGAGUGAGCCUGGAUGCAGUCCAGCUGCUGCCUUGCCCUAUAGGGCUGAAGUGCUCAGCCUUGCUGAACCAGACGUGUGCCUGGGUGUGCCUGAUCUGUGUGGCUCUUAUCAGGAGAGCUAAGCAGCCCAGCACAGCGGGUGUCCUCGCAAAAGUGCAACCCUGAUUCUGCGUGGCUGAUGCUCAGCUGGAGAUACGGCAGUUGUGAUUGAUUUCAGAGCCUGAUACACAGACGUUCCAGCUACUUCAUUUUGGAGUGACCAUUACUAAAAGCAAAAAGACAGCAGUGACUCCAGACCACUUUUUUUGCUGAGAUCAACUGCUUGCUAUGAUGAUGGAUGUUUCUUUACUUUGGACUAAGCUGAAAUUCCCGGCUCAUUUCUUGUCUCCAAAGAGCACGAAGGUAAGAAGUUCUGAUCUGUA